GAUGAACGCUGACAGAAUGCUUAACACAUGCAAGUCGAUUCGAUUUACCUUCGGGUAUUGAGGAUGGCGGACGGGUGAGUAACGCGUAAGGAACUUGCCUCUUGGUCUGGGACAACUGUUGGAAACGACAGCUAAUACCGGAUAUUAUGAGAUUCUCGCAUGGGAAACUUAUGAAAGCUAUAUGCGCCAAGAGAGAGCCUUGCGUUCCAUUAGCUAGUUGGUGGGGUAACGGCCCACCAAGGCGACGAUGGAUAGCCGGCCUGAGAGGGUGAACGGCCACAAGGGGACUGAGACACGGCCCUUACUCCUACGGGAGGCAGCAGUGGGGAAUAUUGGACAAUGGGCCACAAGCCUGAUCCAGCAAUUCUGUGUGCACGAUGAAGGUCUUCGGAUUGUAAAGUGCUUUCAGUUGGGAAGAAGAAAGUGACGGUACCAACAGAAGAAGCGACGGCUAAAUACGUGCCAGCAGCCGCGGUAACACGUAUGUCGCAAGCGUUAUCCGGAUUUAUUGNGCGUAAAGCGCGUCUAGGCGGAAAAAUAAGUCUGAUGUUAAAAUGCGGGGCUCAACUCCGUAUUGCGUUGGAAACUGUUUUUCUAGAGUACUGNAGAGGUGGGCGGAACUACNAGUGUAGAGGUGAAAUUCGUAGAUAUUUGUAGGAAUGC
rnacentral:rRNA from 1 species